CGGCUCUUAAAAUACAGUCGGGCGGCGAUGAGAAUCAAGGAAUUUAUUUUAUGUGGCCUUAGUCCAAACUGCCAUAAGCUAGUUUGCAGAUUAUGCAGCAUACAAGCUGUCAAGAAUUGUAGUUUUACUGAGCUAGAGAAACUUACCUCGCAACUCUUGUCUAUGGACCUCAAAACAAGACACGUUUCAAUUGAAGUUAAGACAACUUUUUGUUUCAGAAACGAUGAUUCUUUCUCCGUUUUCGUUUCCAAAGAAAAAGAAGAACUGUGGUUUUGUGGCAAAGUUGUUGUCAAGGU